ensembl:lncRNA
UCCAUUGUUGAUUUCUAAUAUAUAUAUAUAUCAAAAAUUUUCUACUUGAAUGUUUAAGAAUAGGACAUAGAAUGACCUUACCACAGUAAUUUUCUUUGUGAAUGUGGACUUGAUUAACAAACACUGGGAUUUUAGAGGGAAAAAAAUCCUAUUUAAGAUAUUCAAUUAAUUAAUCUUAAAAUCCUGCAUAUUAAAAUUUGACUCACCAUUCUGCAGGGCUUGGAAGCCUCAGGAAACUUAAAUCAUGGUGGAAGAGGCAGCAAACACUUCCUUCUUCACAUAGCAGCAAGGAGAAGUGCAGAGCAAAAUGAGUGUAAAGCCCUUUAUAAAACCAUCAGAUAUUGUUAGAACUUAUUCAGUAUCACAAGAAGAGCCUGAAGAUGUCUACCCGCCUUCCCCUAAAUUCAUGUGUGGGAAUCCAAUCCCUCAGAAGUCUAUAAAAGGUACUCUGAAUAUGGAGAUGAGUAAAACCAAGCUUCCACAUUCCAUGCUCUCACAAUAAAACAUGGCAAUAUUGUGGAGACAGCAGUUGUCACAUGAACCCAGAUACCAGGC